AUUGAACGCUGGCGGCAUGCCUUACACAUGCAAGUCGAACGGCGGCACGGGAGCUUGCUCCUGGUGGCGAGUGGCGAACGGGUGAGUAAUGCAUCGGAACGUGCCCUGAAGUGGGGGAUAACGUAGCGAAAGUUACGCUAAUACCGCAUAUUCUGUGAGCAGGAAAGCAGGGGAUCUUCGGACCUUGCGCUUUUGGAGCGGCCGAUGUCGGAUUAGCUAGUUGGUGGGGUAAAGGCCCACCAAGGCGACGAUCCGUAGCGGGUCUGAGAGGAUGAUCCGCCACACUGGAACUGAGACACGGUCCAGACUCCUACGGGAGGCAGCAGUGGGGAAUUUUGGACAAUGGGCGCAAGCCUGAUCCAGCCAUGCCGCGUGAGUGAAGAAGGCCUUCGGGUUGUUAAAGGACGUCUUUCCGGUUGGGGGUAAGGAAAAAGUUUAGGC
rnacentral:rRNA from 1 species